rnacentral:rRNA from 1 species
UACGAAGGGGGCUAGCGUUGUUCGGAUUUACUGGGCGUAAAGCGCACGUAGGCGGCUCGAUUAGUCAGGGGUGAAAUCCCAGGGCUCAACCCUGGAACUGCCUUUGAUACUGUCGAUCUGGAGUAUGGAAGAGGUGAGUGGAAUUCCGAGUGUAGAGGUGAAAUUCGUAGAUAUUCGGAGGAACACCAGUGGCGAAGGCGGCUCACUGGUCCAUUACUGACGCUGAGGUGCGAAAGCGUGGGGAGCAAACAGG